AAUUCACACAAUCCAAGCCAUGGAUGUUCAAAGAGAAACCAGAAGAGAAGAAGCUUCGUCUUCAUCAUCAUCAUCUAGUUCGCGCACAAGGGACGUUGCACGAGGAGGAUGCGCUACCGAUCAGGCUCGCCUGGCAGAACGACACCAUCGCCGAAUCCUCCGCGCAUCGGAUUCCGUCCACCGACGGAGUUGCCAAAUCACAUGAGCUCGGAAAACAUGGCUAAAGGGGAAAGGAGAUUUGGUGGUGGAGAUUGCAAGCUGAGCCACAAAAAAAGACUAUGCAGCUCGUGAUACGGUGGAGUGGGGUUAGAGAUGGCAAUCCGAUUUGGGGCCCAUGGCCUCCUGCAAAAAGUGAUUAAAAAAAUGUGUGAAUUUGAGCAAUCUUCGCGGUUGAGAAUGCUUUUUGGUCGACCCUGCUUAGGAAAAGGCAGGGCCCUGGGUAAUACUGCUUAUGCAAUUUGCUCCCAGAAGUACAAUUCUUUUUUCAAGUUUUUUUUUUUUUUACCCUUUGAAAAUUGGUAUUAGGUAGCAGAAUGUGGUGGUGGCUCAUCUCAGCGCUGCAGCUGCUUGAUACACUCCGGUGACUCGCAAUUACAGUUAGGACAUACCUCCUUUCUGGCCGGGCUACAACCGAGAUUUCGGGUUCAUCUGGCAUAGUAGAUACAAUGCUAGAUUAAGAAUUUGGGGACUCUCGCUAUCCACUACUAAAUUUUUGACAUGUAGGAGAGUGGAAACAGGGAGAUUCUUGCGAUCCACCGCUAAGUUUUUGAGACGUGUGAAAGCUGAAAAGGGGGGGAGGGGAAAAUGAAUCUUGUAAAAAAUUUGUAAUAUUAACAGAUUGCUAUUGCUAUACAAGUCUUUUAUUUUUCUUA